rnacentral:rRNA from 1 species
AACGAACGCUGGCGGCAUGCCUAACACAUGCAAGUCGAACGAGACCUUCGGGUCUAGUGGCGCACGGGUGCGUAACGCGUGGGAACCUGCCCGUAGGUUCGGAAUAACUCCCCGAAAGGGGUGCUAAUACCGGAUAAUUUCUUCGGACCAAAGAUUUAUCGCCUUUGGAUGGGCCCGCGUUGGAUUAGCUUGUUGGUAGGGUAAAAGCCUACCAAGGCGACGAUCCAUAGCUGGUCUGAGAGGAUGAUCAGCCACACUGGGACUGAGAAACGGCCCAGACUCCUACGGGAGGCAGCAGUGGGGAAUAUAGGACAAUGGGCGAAAGCCUGAUCCAGCAAUGCCGCGUGAGUGAUGAAGGCCUUAGGGUUGUAAAGCUCUUUUACCCGGGAUGAUAAUGACAGUACCGGGAGAAUAAGCUCCGGCUAACUCCGUG